UUUAUUGGAGAGUUUGAUCCUGGCUCAGGGUGAACGCUGGCGGCGUGCCUAAGACAUGCAAGUCGAGCGGGCCGUGGGGAAUCUCACGGUCAGCGGCGGACGGGUGAGUAACGCGUGGGUGACCUACCCG
rnacentral:rRNA from 1 species